UCUCUCACUCUAUCUCUCUCUCUCUCUCUCUCUCUCUCUCGGCUUUGAUGAUGCUAAGAUGGUAGAAUAAGAUGACAUGCGAUUUUGAUGAACUCCAGCUAUUAAACUGUCUUUCAAGGAGGUCAAUGGGCAAGUACUUCAGCUUGAGGUCCGCGGUGGUGAUGGUUGUGUUAACGAUGUCUCUUGUGGUGUUGCCGGUGGUGUUGCCGCCGCUUCCUCCACCUCCGGUGAUGCUUCUCCUUGUUCCGAUCAUGAUCCUGGGGGUGUUGAUACUUUUGGCGUUUUCUCCUUCGCAUGAACCCAAUGUUGUGCUCAAUUCUGUGUAAACUUUAAGUACCAUAUAUUAUGAGCAUAGAUUUAAUUCAUUUUCCUGGUCUACGACCUUGAUGUAUAUUUUCCAUAUCUUUGGAUCCAACUCCAAGUUUCGUAGUUACCCAAAAAUGUUAUUUCGAACAUUACGGAGUAAGCAAAGUGUGUAGGGUAGAUUGUAGGAUUAAAAUGGGUGUAACGUGCGCUACAUUGAAGAUGGAUGUGAUUCAUUUUGGGGGGAUAAAAUUCAUUGAUCUCUCUUGAAUUUUUUGAUAAAUACACACAUUUUUCAUGUAAUUUUAAAAAUAAUAGUGACAUUUAUUACUUUUAAAACUAUUGUCAAAAUUUCUG
rnacentral:lncRNA from 1 species